UGGGGAAUAUUGCACAAUGGGCGCAAGCCUGAUGCAGCCAUGCCGCGUGUGUGAAGAAGGCCUUCGGGUUGUAAAGCACUUUCAGCGAGGAGGAAGGUGGUGAACUUAAUACGUUCAUCAAUUGACGUUACUCGCAGAAGAAGCACCGGCUAACUCCGUGCCAGCAGCCGCGGUAAUACGGAGGGUGCAAGCGUUAAUCGGAAUUACUGGGCGUAAAGCGCACGCAGGCGGUUUGUUAAGUCAGAUGUGAAAUCCCCGGGACUCAACCUGGGAACUGCAUUUGAAACUGGCAAGCUAGAGUCUCGUAGAGGGGGGUAGAAUUCCAGGUGUAGCGGUGAAAUGCGUAGAGAUCUGGAGGAAUACCGGUGGCGAAGGCGGCCCCCUGGACGAAGACUGACGCUCAGGUGCGAAAGCGUGGGGAGUAAACAGGAUUAGAUACCCUGGUAGUCCA
rnacentral:rRNA from 1 species